ACAGAAAAAAGCCAAAGCAUAGCAAUUGCAAGCGGUCUGGUGUGAAGGGGAGAGGGUUAUUCAUUAAUCCACUGCCAUGGGGCCCAACAAAAGGAAAAGGCUGGCACCUAGCACCUGCACUGCUGCUCAACCCUCCUGCAGCACACACCUCCUGCACUGCCCGACAGGCAAGGAACAGCCCAGCUGUCCACCGAUUUUCAAGGGGCAGGAGCUUGCAAGAGGGGAGCAGUUGGAGGAGAGGACUGGCAGUGAAGAGGUUAACGCAUGACUCUCCACAGAGUCCACCUAUUUGCAGGUUCGGCUGGGAGCCUGGGCAUAUCUGACCUUAGCACAGCGAAGCGCAAUCCAAGCAGGGCAGAGCCGUUCAGAGUCUGGCAAAGCGAGAGACAGGAAGUUCUGCCCGGGCAAGCCAAGGGGGCUCAUCGCCGUAACAACCUUGUUGGCCCCAUGGAGCCCCAAGGUGACACUGCACGAAAGCAAUGGGGAGCGGAUCACCGUUCUGCCCGUUGGGAAAGCAGCGUGGGUUGGAGGGUGCAGCACGAGGAAGCAGCACAAACUGGGAAGAACUUUCUGAUCAGACAGCAGUG